rnacentral:rRNA from 1 species
GGAGGGUGCAAGCGUUGCUCGGAAUUACUGGGCGUAAAGAGCGUGUAGGCGGUCUCGUAUGUCUGGCGUGAAAGCCCCGGGCUUACCCCGGGAAGUGCGUUGGAAACUGCGAGACUAGAGUCCCGGAGAGGAAGGUGGAAUUCCAGGUGUAGCGGUGAAAUGCGUAGAUAUCUGGAAGAACACCGGUGGCGAAGGCGGCCUUCUGGACGGUGACUGACGCUGAGACGCGAAAGCGUGGGGAGCAAACAGGAUUAGAUACCCUGGUAGUCCACGCCAUAAACGAUGGGCACUAGGUGUCGCGGGUAUUGACCCCCUGCGGUGCCGCAGCUAACGCAUUAAGUGCCCCCGCCUGGGGACUACGGCCGCAAGGUUA